UGACUUGAGUUCGGGGAUGACAAGGAGCACCGUGAUUCAUCUGAGCUAAAGAUGGAAUUAAAGAAUUGGUAAUCUCAAUCCACAUAAUCAUGGGUCCUCGGUAUCUUAGAAAAUGCAUGUGCAAGCUACAUUGCAAGGCUACCUUUAUUAAUCUUGAUAGACUUAUAAAGCAUGCACUACUUCAUCAAUGAAGUAUUGGUCACGAAGUUAGCUCUAGUCAUGGAACCCCAAGAUGCUUCAUAUCACGGUGGCUAAUUGGCAUGUUCAAAGCCUCAGUAUAUGCAAGAAUGUUUACGUGACACUGAACGCAAUUCCUUGUUCUUGUAUUUAAUAUAUUACCC
rnacentral:lncRNA from 1 species